UACGUAGGGGGCAAGCGUUGUCCGGAUUUAUUGGGCGUAAAGCGCGUGUAGGCGGCCACACAGGUCCGCUGUGAAAACUCGAGGCUCAACCUCGAGCUGUCGGUGGAAACCGUGUGGCUAGAGUCCGGAAGAGGAGACUGAAAUUCCCGGUGUAGCGGUGGAAUGCGCAGAUAUCGGGAGGAACACCCGUGGCGAAGGCGGGUCUCUGGGACGGUACUGACGCUGAGACGCGAAAGCGUGGGGAGCGAACAGG
rnacentral:rRNA from 1 species